UAUUGACAAAUUGAAUAGUCGAUGCAAAGUGUAUCGACUAUUUGAAAUUUUACAUCCCUACCCCUAGUAAUCCUUUAAAAACACAAGUCUGUCUUGUGUUUUCCUUCUGUCAGCUCAUAACUCCCUUUCACUUCUUACAUUCUUUUAUAGCAUCUUUCUUGAUAUUGUGUACUCGAUUAGUCUUUCCUUUCCUGGAGAGAGCAAGUGACAGGCGAAGCUACUUUUCAGUCCAUUUACUUCAGUCUCAUUAGGAGCUGCACACAAUCGAGGAGUGUGACCCCCCACUACCACCAAGAACCCUGUGGAUUCUUCUGAAGGCACUGAGUCAGCAGAAAGAGGACUCAAAUCGGAGGAUGAAAUCAUAGAUGAAGUAGAGCUGGAUGAGACUGUGGAGCUCACAGCAGGAUUGCACAGUGUAGCAGGCAGCUAGGAACUGUUUUCAAGUCCUGAGGCGAAUGGCCAAUGUCAGCAGCAGUUCGAUGUGACGCAGGAAGCAGGGAAUGAUAUGCAGGAUGAAGCCUUGAGAAUUCAGAAGACUUCUUCCAGCAACAGACUGCAUCACCUAAAGAGCAGAUCCAGGCAAAAUAGGGAUGAUCUUGUGAGGGAGGUUUUGAACCAUUCCUCAGUUGAGCAGAAAGAGGAGCGAUAGCUGAGUGAAAGGCAAGAUAGGAAAGACAACCUUGAUCGUGCACUCAUUCGUAUGAAGGCGCAAACUAAGAUGCUCAAAUAUUUAAUCAAGCUGUAGAGGGAGCAGAACAGGCCUUGGCCUACCCUGCAGUACAUACAGAAUUCUUUGUCCAGCAACCCACCCUCCACACCCACAUGCUCCUUUUUACUGUUUCCACUCCACUCUACUCUAUCACAAUUGUUAUGACAGUUGAACUUUCACACAGUUGUGCGGCUUUACCCUGACCCUUACCAGCAAAUAUUGAUCAUUAGGUGUGUGACCAUGAUGUGCAGUGAUCAAUAAAGGCAAACAUUUUUAAUG